AGAAAAUUUAAGCACCUCCAGCAGUUGGAUCUUGCAGCUAACAAUCUUACAGGUCCAAUUCCAUAUGAUCUUGAGCAACUCACUGAGUUGGUUUCACUUGCUCUCUCUGGAAACGAAAACGACUAUCUAAGUCUAGAACCAAUUUCUUUUGACAAGCUUGUUCGAAAUCUAACCCAGCUUAGAGAACUCUAUCUGUGGUGGGUGAACAUGCCAUUGGUUGUACCCAAUUCCUUGAUGAAUCUGUCUUCUUCUUUGUCAUCACUCACACUCUAUUCAUGUGGAUUACAAGGAAAAUUCCCAUCCUCAGUGAGAAAAUUUAAGCACCUCCAAUACUUGGAUCUUAGAUACAGCAAUCUUACAGGUUCAAUUCCAGAUGAUCUUGGACAACUCACUGAGUUGGUUUCAAUUGAUCUCUCUUUCAAUGACUAUUUGAGUGUAGAACCAAGUUCUUUUGACAAGAUUAUUCAAAACCUAACCAAGCUAAGAGGUCUCCGUUUGGGUUAUGUAAAUAUGCCUUUGGUCACACCUAAUUCCUUUGCGAAUCUAUCCUCAUCCUUGUCAGCUCUUGCCCUUUGGGGUGGUGGAUUGAAAGGGAAGUUUCCAGGUAACAUCUUUCUCCUACCAAACCUUGAAUCACUUGAUUUGACAUACAACGACGACCUCACUGGCUCUUUUCCUUCAUCCAAUGUGAGUAAUAUCCUCCUGUUAUUGGGUCUUACUCAUACGAGAAUUUCAGUUUCUUUAGAAAACGACUUCUUCAAUAAUCUAAAGUUGUUGGAAGUUUUGGUUCUUAAAAACUCUAAUAUCAUAAGGUCAAAUCUAACCCUGAUUGGCUAUCUCACACGGCUCACUCGUUUGGACCUUGUAGGUAAUAAUUUGAAUGGUCAGAUUCCAUCAUCACUUAGAAACCUUGUUCAACUUCAAUCCUUGUAUCUCGAUAACAAUAAUUUUUCUGGGUGGAUUCCAGAUUUUUUAGGUAACCUGACUGUCCUUGAAAAUUUAGGUUUAUCUAGUAAUCAACUCGUAGGACAUAUCCCUUCUCAAAUAGGUACUCUUUCAUUGAGAUUGUUUGAUUUAAGAAACAACCACUUGCAUGGUCCAAUCCCAAGUUCAAUUUUCAAACAAGGGAACCUGGAAGCCCUUGCUCUUGCAUCCAACAAUAAAUUAACAGGUGAAAUUUCUUCCUCUAUUUGCAACCUUAAGUUCCUUCGACUCCUUGAUUUGUCCAACAACAGCUUGAGUGGUUUUGUACCACAAUGUUUAGGGAACUUUAGCAACUCUCUCUCAAUUUUGAAUCUUGGCAUGAAUAAUCUUCAAGGCACCAUCUUUUCACCAUUUCCAAAAGGGAAUAACUUGGGAUAUCUCAACCUAAAUGGCAAUGAAUUGGAAGGGAAAAUACCAUUGUCUAUCAUCAACUGUGCAAUGCUGGAAAUUCUUGAUCUUGGCGACAAUAAGAUCGAGGAUACAUUCCCUUAUUUCCUUGAAAUGCUUCCAGAGCUGCAUGUUCUUGUCCUAAAGUCCAAUAAGCUUCAGGGUUUUGUGAAUGGUCCGAUUGCUAAUAAUUCCUUCUCUAAAUUACGGAUUUUCGACAUCUCCAGCAAUAAUUUGAGUGGAUCAUUGCCAACAGGGUAUUUCAAUAGUUUUAAAGCAAUGAUGGCCUCUGAUCAAAAUUCAUUUUACAUGAUGGCAAGAAAUUACUCUGACUAUGCUUAUUCCAUAAAAGUGACAUGGAAAGGGUUUGAUAUUGAGUUCACGAAAAUCCAAAGUGCUCUUAGAAUACUUGAUUUGUCAAACAACAAUUUCAUCGGAGAGAUAUCAAAGGUGAUCGGAAAGCUUAAAGCAAUUCAACAACUCAACCUCUCUCAUAAUUCCCUUACAGGUCAUAUUCAAUCAUCUAUAGGAAUGUUGACCGAUCUGGAAUCCUUAGAUCUAUCUUCAAAUUUUCUUACUGGAAGGAUUCCAGUACAGUUGGCAGAUCUAACAUUUCUUGGAGUCUUAAACCUUUCACAUAACCAGCUUGAGGGGCCCAUACCCAGUAGAAACCAGUUCAGCACGUUUAAUGCAAGCUCAUUUGAAGGAAACUUGGGUUUAUGUGGAUUGCCCAUGCCAAAAGAAUGCAAUAGUGACGAUGCACCACCAUUGCAGCCAUCGAACUUUCACGAUGGAGAUGAUUCAGCAUUCUUUGGAGAUGGAUUUGGAUGGAAAGCUGUGGCAAUAGGGUAUGGAAGUGGGUUUGUGUUUGGAGUCACAAUGGGAUACGUUGUGUUUAGGACAAGAAAACCGGUAUGGUUUCUGAAAGUGGUUGAAGAUCAAUGGAAUCUGAAGGCAAGAAGAACGAAGAAGAAUGCUCGUAGAAAUGGUGCAAGAAGAAACUAAAUAGCGCAGCUAGUAACAUGAAGUAAGUUCUGCAAGCAUUUGACAUCUUAAAGUUUUAUGUGCAAGAGUUUACGCUAUUUUUUCUGUGCUAUUUCCUUUGAUUAGUCUUUUCUUUCUGUUUCAUUAAAUAAAAAAAUUAUUUGUAUGCUUCUAAAUUGCAGUGAAGUUUCGAAUAAACAUCCUCGCUACCUUAUGAGAUACCAAGCGGAGUUGACAUGAGAAGAACGCUAGAGUGGCAGAUUCAGAGAACUUCUUCGUACUUCUUCUGUUUUCCUUCAUGGUUGUGUUUUAUUUUAUUUUCUUUCAUUAGUUUUAUUCGAUACAUGGAAUGUUUUCGAGUCACUUAAUAUGCGUGUUUUUUUUUUUGGUUAGUUUUGAUGCAAGGUUUGGGUGUUACAUCUAUAAAAAAGAAGCAAUGCAUGCAGCAGUUAAUGUUUAAUAGAAAAUCCAGCUUGAUUUUAAGGUUUUUUUUUUUUUUUAACCAGUACAUAACCUACUUAAAGCUGGGAGAAUUCCAUAUAGAAAGCAGGUCCGAAAAAGACAUCAUACAAUGGACAACUAGAUUUUUAAGAGUCAGUUAUUUCAGUUUGCUGCAGAGCUUUCAUUUCUUUAUUUUCUUUUUCUCUGUCAUUGUAAACGAACAGAACUUUUUUUUCUAGUUAGCCAAGUCUUUUUGGCACUAAUUUUUAUAUAAAAUCUUGAUAUAUAUAUAUAUAUGAAAGAUUGUAUUUGAGAGUAUACUCUUAAAAAAUGAAAUGUAUUGUAGGAAAUGGGUGUCUUAGUGAUGGCGUUUUCAAAAUAAAUUUAAUGACCAUUGUAAGCAAGGUUGAGAUGAAUAAUAUUAAUAAUGCAUCUUCUUCUUACUUGGAUUAGUCUUAUGAUGAAUGGCAUGAGAGGUUGGGGCAUAUGAAUUAUAAUUUUAUACAAAAUUGGUUCAUCUUGAAUUAAUACCUACCAUGGUUUUUUAGAAAAAUCAUACGUGUAAAGUUUGUGUAAAAUUAAAAUUCACAAAAUCUUCUUUUCAAAUUAUUAAAAGAAGUAGUGAAUCUCUAGAUUUAAUUCACUCAGACAUUAAUGAUUUAAAAAUAAUGUAAACCAAAGGAGAAAAGAAGUAUUAUAUCACCUUUAUAGAGAAUUGCACAAGGUACUUUUAUACUUAUGAGACUCUUAAAAUAUUAAAAAAUUACAAAAUUUAAGUUCAAAAUCAACUUAAUAAAAAAAAUAAUACGAAGUUAUAGAUACGGAGAGUAUGAAAUAUAUUUUGGUGAAUUUUGUUUCCAAAAUGAGAUAAUUCACCAAAUUAGUACUCCUUAUUUACCUCAAUAAAAUGACAUUAAAAAACAUAAAAACCAAACACUUCAAAAACUAAUGAAUAUCAUGUUGAUAAGUUCAAGAGUGCCUCAAAACUUGUGAAAGGAGGCAAUUAUAACUGCCAAUUGUAUUUUUAAUAAAGUACACCCAUAAAAAACUAGAAAAGACACUAUAUGAAUUAUAGAAAGGUAAAAGAUCAUAAAAAUACCUCAAAAUGUGAGGGUGUCUUGAAAAGAUAGCAAUACUUGAUCCUAAAAUGUUCAAGAUACGAAAUAGAAUUGUGAAUUGUGUAUUUAUCGGGUAUACUUACAAUAAUAAUACAUAUUAGUUUUUUAUACACAACUUAAGUAUUGAGAAUAUACAUUCUAAUACUAUUAUAGAAUCAAAUAGCGCUAUAUUUUUUGAAGAUGUGUUUUCAUUUGAAGAGCUAUAAGAAAAUUAUUCACUUAAAAAAAUAAUAGAAGCUAGCUUAAAUAGUUAUCAUCAAUCGAAAAAUGAUGAAGUUGAGUCUAGAAGGAGUAAAAGGAAAAAACAACUAAAAUAUUUGAAAUUUCAGCAAUAACCACUUGAAUGGUCCAAUCCCAAGUCCAAUUUUCAAAUAAGAGAGCUUGUUAAUCAUCAUUUUACAUCCAACAGUAAAUAAAUUUCUUUUUCUAUUUGCAAGCUUGACUUAUCCAACAAUAGCUUGAGUAGUUCUAUUCCCCCAUGUUUGGAGAACUUCAAUAACACUAUUAGUUUUACAUUCAGGCAUGAACAAUCUUCAAUGAACUAUCUCUUUAACAUUUUUAAAGAGGAAUGGGAUAUUCCAACCUGGGAAAAUAUUGGAAUCAACCGCAUAAUAGUGGAAGUUCUUGAUCUCAGCAAUGAUAAGAUUAAGUAUACAUUCCCCUAUUUCCUAGAAACACUUUCAAAAUUGCAGGUUUUUGUUCUAAAAUUAAAUAGACUCUAGGGUUUUUUGAAGGUCCAAUCACUUAUAACUCCUUUAAAUAAUAUAUUUUUUACAUCUUCAACAAUAAUUUUAGUGGACCAUUGCAAAUAAGGUGUUUAAUAGUCUUGAAGCAACGUUGGUCUCUUUAAAAUAUUAUUUAUAUGAUGGCAAGAGUUUUCUCAAGAUAUGCCUAUACCUUAAAAACAACAUGGAAAGAGUUGGAAGUUGAGUUUAUGAAAAUCCAAAGUAUUCUUGGAAUAGUACUUGUCUUGUCAAAUAAUAAUUUUAUCGGAGAGAUUCCAAAAUUAAUCGGAAAGCUUAAAACAUUUCAAUAACUUAACCUCUCUUACAAUUCCCUUACAGGUCGUAUCCAAGCAUCAUUAGGAGUUUUGACCAAACUAGAAUAAUUAGAUCUAUCUUUCAAUUUGCUUACCAGAAGGAUUCCUAUGCAGUUGGCUAAAACUUGAUGGCUAAUCAUUUCUUGAUAAGUACGAAAUCUUUUACAUAACCAGCUCGAGGGACACAUACCUAGUGAAAGUAACUCAACACAUUUGAUCAAAGCACAUUUGAAGGAAACUUGGGUUUAUGUGGAUUUCCACUGCCAAAAGGAUGCAAUAGUGGCGAGGCACCAUCAAUAUUGUUGCCAUCAAACUUUAAUGAAGGAGAUCGCUCAACAUUGUUUGGAGAUGGAUUUGGAUGGAAAGUUGUGGCAAUGGGCUAUGGAUGUGGGUUUGUAUUUGGAGUCACAAUGGCUUAUCUACAAAGAGACAAGUACUUGCAUGGUUUAUGAGGAUGGUUGAAGGUCAAUGGAAUGUGAAGGGAAGAAGAACAGAAAACAAUUCUCGCAGACAAGGUGCCAGAAGAAACUCAAAAAAAUUACAUUCAGUAAAUCAAAGUACUCAUGACUAUUAUUGUGUGUUUUCUUAUUGCAGUACAAAUUCAAUAGAGGUUGUACCUCACGAGAUACCAAGUGGAGUUAACAUUGGAGCAACACUAAAGUGUCAGGUUUAGAAUAUUUGAUGCGGGUGGAAGCUAAAGAUAAGAACAAAUAAAUAACACGGAAUUUUGAUGAAUGAAAAGGUAUUGAAGGAAAAAAUCCCAAAUAAUUAGGUGAUAUACUUUAAUUAAUGGGAUUAAAUAAUUUAUCAAAGUUAAUCCUAGAAUAGCUCCUAGAAUGGUGGAUCAGAUUGUAUUUUAAACCAGCUUUGCAAUAGUGAAAAAAGAAAAUACAGAAAACAUUCGCAUUAUCAUUUUCUUUAUGUUAUCAGAGCUCUAGUUCUGAGAACCUAGGAAUCCAUACAACUAAAAUACCUCAUGCCUGGUGACGAAGACCGAAAGCUUCUUGAACAAAACAGGCGCUGUCGAACUCUUUCAAGACCUCAGAACCAUGGGAGAACUCCAAUCAUCCACUUUUUCUCCAUCACUCGGAUCAACCAGGCGCUGUCCUCGUUUCACAACCAAUUCUAGUGCUCUGUUCCUUGCCUACUUUUGGGCAGUGUUAUCAUGCAAACAGAAGCGUUGGCAAAGUAAUUAGUUCCAAAUAUUUCUAGCAUAGAUUUAUGCAUGCAAAAUAGUAAUGUGAAUAAGCAACCUUGUUAAAGCUUAGCUCCUGGAAAUGGGAUGCCGCCGCAAAUUGCAACUGGAAAAAAAAAAUCAAGUAUGUAAUUUGGUGGCUAGUCUUGUUAGGAUUCGGAAUCAAAACAAUUAAAGCUUGAUUUGUAAAUCAUAUCUUAGAGAUUUAGUUUGAUUGUAGUUUUUGUAAUUAAAUCCUAAAAAUUAGUUGCUAGUCUGUCAGUUUAUUUAUUUAGACAAGAUCUUUUUUAUAUAAACCAUGUAUAUGUACCAUAGAAAUCACACAGAAUAAUAAGACUGCCUUGCUGUUCUUCAAACUCCCUCUGUCAGCUUUCUUGUUUUCUUUAAGUCUUGCAAACGAGACCGACUCAUCCCUCGUAAUGAUGCAGCUGUCGAACAUCAACCUCGCACCUACAAGAAAUGGUGAGGCAUAUUACUCCCUCUGUCGAUUCGUUCUCCCAUUUUUAUGUAUUCAGCAUCAAUAGUUUCAGCAUCACGUAAGAAGGUUGAGAUAUUCGCCGGUAGCACAUAUGAAUCACAUUUGCAUUCUACUUUCAAAUUCUUCAGUCUUUUGAAGGGAGCACCACUUUUCCACAUGAAUACAAACCUUUACCACUAAUAAGGAUAGGUGGAGCUCCAUACCUUCGUUUUUUUUUUCUUCUUAUAUCCAUAGCAACGACUCACUCCUGACAUAGCUUACAGGUGAGUGACCAUUUUCGAGAGCUAAAUCACGGUAAAAAAUUUAUCAACUCAAGGUUUUUAGUCAAUCGUAUAUUUACACGUAGGUUGGGAAAUACAAGUGAUAAGAUUCAAACUAGAAAUGUUCUCUUCCCUUGAUUAACUCUUUAAUACUUAAUUAUUAUCAGUUAAAUUACCAACUAACUUGCUUAGCUCUAUACCUUCGUGUCCAAGCAGUAAUGCAACACAAAAGUAAUAGAGGAUUUACGAUCAAAUGUUUCUGAGAUGCAAAUAUUAUUAAUUAUCAAUUUAUAGCAGUAUGCAUAAACCCUAUUUUGAAAAAUCAGGUAAUCCAAAAUUGAUACUGUUUUUUCCAUUGCCCCAUUAAUUUUUGAUAAGAAAUUCAUUAAAAAUAUGGAUUAAUAAAACUAGGCUCAAGAAAUUUUUUACUAAGAAAAAUAACAAUCUCAUUAUUUCUAAAACUUUAUAAAUAAACUAGAACUGUAAUUUGGAUGACUUAAGUUUUUUCAUUUUACAUGAAUUAUCUCAAAUAAAUGUGAGGUAAUUCUCUAAAUUACCUAUUCUCCGAAACUUUAAGAAAUUUACUACCCGAAUUGGUUCAAACAAUCAAAGUAAUUUGGAUUAUUUUUUAAUAAUGCUCAUAUCUAUUCACACCAAUCAUAUGUGGUGGCAUGGUUGCAUCGAUUCUUUUUUUAUUUGGAAGGUGAGAUUUAGUUUUUUGCAUGUCUUUUAACCUUUUUUUUUAUUAACGUGUGAGAUUUAGUUUUUUGUAUAUUUUUUAAUUUUUUUUAUUAAUGUAGAUAUCCGAGUUAGCUUGCGUAUACCUUAACUAAUUUCACGAAACUUAAAAUUAAUUAAUUUUACAGCAUGUAGUUCAAGAAACCUUCUUCUGUCAUUUUGUGUCAGUUAGGUUAAAGAAGCGCUGAUUUCAAUUUUGUAAACUAGUACAUGCUCGAAUUAUGAAUAUCAUAUUCUUCGUUUGAAUUCUUUGACAUUAAUUUUCACUUUCUCUUUCUUCUUUUUUUUACACAAAAGUCAAAGAAAAAAACACCUUUUCUUGUAAAUAUUAUCCAAAAACAAUUUCCCAAGAAUCAUCAUAAGAUAACUAUCUAAAGAAACAAUAAGAGAUACAAACCUAGCCACUAAAUGGUAUUUUACUAGCUAAUAUCCAACUAUCUAAUUCCAAAACAAUUUAAGAAUUAAUAAGAUAAACUCUUGGGCCUUAAAAAGAAAAAAAAAGAUUAACUACAGGGGCCCUUCUUUUUUAUCCUCUAAUCCUAUUGUUUUUCUGAUUAAAAAUGAUUAAAUUGUCUUAUUAUUUAUUAAUUGUGAAACCUCACUUUUAUAUAAAUCUAAGCUCUCUAACUUAAGAAAUUAAAAUAAGAUAUUAUAAAAAUCAUACCGUUCUCUCAUUGUUUUUCAUUUUCAGAGAAUAUUAAGAUGUCAUUUACUUACUUGCUGGAAAGUUUUUUUUUGAAAAGUAAAUUUUAAAAAAAUUAAUUUCAGAAAAGUAAAUUAUUUUUCAAUAUGUGGUAAUGUAAUAGAAAAUAAAUUAGAAAACACUUUCUAAUAUUUGAUUAUGUUAUGGAAAAUAAGAUAUAAAAUAACUUAUUAAUAUUUUUUUUUAAGUUUAUUAAAAUAAUAAGAAAUAAAUUUUACAAAUUUAAAAUUUAAAUAAAAAAAUUAAAAAUAUAUAUAUAAUUUUAUAAAUUACUUUAAAUAAAUUAUUUAACUAUAAAAAGGAGAGAAAAAAAGAGAGGGUGACUUGGGGAAAGGGUCAGCAGAGCAGAUCAGAGUGAAGAGUGUGAGAGUGAUAGAGGGUUCGAUAACUAAGGAGGCCAAGGGUUUUUCAACAGCAACAACAAAGAGAGACAGAAAAAUGUGGAGGAGGAGGAGUCAUUUAUUACUCAGCAACGCCGUAAGAACCUCCCACCACCUCUCCUCCUUAUCGGCUUCCACCGCUUCCAGAGGCAGAACCCUCCUCACUCCCUCCUCCAAUUCUCCCUUAUUUAAAUCCCCUUCUCUUCACUUAGCCCCAAACAACCGCCUUUCCUCUCCUCUCUCCUCCACCAUCUCCGUCCGCCUCCUCCGCACCGGCCGCGACCCCUUCACCAGGUACAUUCAUUCUCCAUUCCCUCCCUCUGUCUUUCUUCCGUUUUUUAUUAUGAAUUUAUUAUAAUUCAUUAGUUAUGAGAUUACGCCACCUGUGAAUUGGGGGGUACGGAUUGUGCCGGAGAAGAAAGCGUUUGUGGUUGUUACGUACCUAGUCACUAGGAAUGGGUGUGCAGUAUAUGGAAAGAAGAAGCUAAAGGUGGUGCAGGAUUGGUAACGUCUGCAACACGCAACAAGGGGUGGUUAAUUCUGUUAGUUGUUAGCCAUAGUUAGUUAGCAUAUUGUUACAGCUGUUAUAGUUAGUUAGAGUAGUCAGUUAGUCGUUAUCUUCAGUUACUAUAAAACCAUGAUCAAGGGUAUCAGUUGAAUACGAAGAAUAUAGAAUACAGAAAAUUCAGUCUCAACUCUUCUCUCUCGAAUUCUUUCUCACAAAUUCUCUGUUCUUCAUCUCUUUCUUCUUCACUUGUUAAGAAACCUUAACAGUGGUAGAGAGAUUUGGAAAGUACUUGAAGACGCUGCCAUCUGGAAUCCAUUUCUUGAUUCCUCUUGUCGAUCGAAUCGCUUAUGUUCACUCUUUGAAGGAAGAGGCUAAUCAGAUUCCUGAUCAAUCUGCUAUUACCAAAGACAAUGUCAGCAUUCUUAUCGACGGCGUCCUCUAUGAAAAGAUUGUGGUAUGAUACCUCUUUACUUCAAUCACCCUUUCUUAGUGUAUUCACAUUAUUUAUUUAUUUAGGAGUGUGCUUUUUAUGUGAAGUACAUUUCGCCGUGAAGAGAUUGGUUGCUUUAACAUUUCGAUUCAUUAAUAAUAUAUUGAAAUGCCAGACAUAAAUCAUAAAUGUGAGCAAAAUCGGUUGCUGCUUCAGGAAAUUGUGACUUGGUUGGUUCUUCAAAAUUGUAAUGACACUUCUCCGUUUCUUGUCUUAUCAACAUAGUUAAAACUCUAAGGUUGUUUUGGAGUUUUAGUUGAAAAUCAGGCAUUUUAAGAAAACAAGGAUGUUGUUGAAUAUGCAAGACCAUCACCAUUUCUGCAGGAGGCCAUCAAUGUGGCUGCAACAGACUGGGGUCUCCGAUGUCUUCGUUAUGAAAUAAGUGAGCCAGCCGCACUUAUCUUAUUUGAUAUUCUAUGUUGAUUAGGUUCCUGUUGAAUUUUCUUUUAAUGCUUCACUGUCCUCUCUUCUUUAGGGGAUAUAUCUCCUCCACGUGGGGUGAAGCAAGCUAUGGAGAUGCAGGCAGAAGCAGAACGUAGAAAGAGAGCUCAAAUUCUUGAGUCUGAAGGUAGUAAAUGUAGUUUAAUUUCUCAGUUUUACCUCGGCUUAAUUAAACUCCACUUUAAUCGAACUUUGUUGCAAUUUACUUCAUGCAUCAUUUUUAUCCUUUUGUACAGAAUUGCCAUGCCAUCUUGUCAUGCUUGGUCGUUUUCCACCGCUUCUUUUCAUCGCAUUUUUUCUGCCUCUCGUAUCUUUGCUGCUACAUAAUGCAGACACUUUUAUUCACCUAUCAUAUCUAUAAAUCUUUGUUAUGCAUGGCUUAAUAAUUGUAGGCAACCUUUUUUAGAACCAUUUGUUCAAUGUCGUGAGGCAUUGCAAUAUUUCUUCAUUUGUCAAUUCAUUGCUAAUCUUUUGUAUUGAUUAUUUUUAACAGGAGAGAGACAGGCCAAUAUUAAUAUUGCUGAUGGUCAUAAGAGUGCUCAGAUCUUGGCAUCACAAGGUUAGUUUUCUUGUGUGUCGUAAGAAUUCUGUUGAUUACAAGUUUCAUUGGAGAUGGUUGUAACUUCUCGAGUAUUGUUUUGAAAUAGAACUUGUUUUACUUCUUUAAUGUUUAUCAUCCAAUUGCCAUCAUUUCUUCAUGGAAACUCUCUUCCUCAACAGGAGAGAAACAAGCUCUCAUCAACAAAGCACAAGGUUAGCUUUCUCAUGUCUCUCUGCUCUGCUGUGCAGUAAUCAAUUGGUGCUCCUCUAUUUCAUUUUCUAGACCCAUAAGCCGUUCUAAAUUAGUAGAUAACCAAACAAAAUUCAUGAGGUGAUAUGAUGGCUUAUCUUGUUACAGUUAUUUUGUAGGCAGCUAAUCUCAUUUUUCUUUCAAUCCUUGUCUUUCGUAUAUCCUUGUGUAUAUGUGCAAUGAUCCACUGAUUAUGAUUGGGUUUCAUUGGAGAUGGCUGUAGCAUCUCAAGUAUUACUUUUUAAACAAACCAAAUGAUGUGAGAACAUAUUUGUUGUUUUAUGACUUUUCAUAUCUGUUGAAGCUUUUAAAUGGUAGUGCUGAUACCUAGUUGCACUUAAAAUAGGUUUGGCUCUUAAUUUGCUCUUCUAGUCUCCUGGAUUGUUUAGCAUGGGAUGCUCUAGUUUUUCAUUUUCUAGACCCAUUAGCUACUCUACAAUAUUUGAUAACCAACCAGACUUGAUCCGGCAAUAUCAUGGCUUAUCUUUAUAUAGUUCUCAUAUGAUCGGCUGCCAAUCUCAUAUCAUUUUAAAUCCUUAUCGAUAAUAUUUUAGGUGAGGCUGAAGCCAUCAUUGCUAAAGCACAAGCAACAGCCAAAGGAAUUGCCAUUGUGUCAGAGAAUAUUAAAAAGAGUGGGGGGAUUGAGGUGAGGUUCUCCAUGUAGAUUUUGAUGUGGUUGCGUAAACAAGAUAUAUCCCUUAGAUUAGUGAUUUUGCAAGUGUUUUAUACCACUUUGUGAUUUGUGAUUCUUGCAUUUUAGCAAUUUGGACUCCAUUGCUUUUUAUAGUAAUAAUAAUAAUCAAAGUUUUCUUGAUUUUGAGGCUACACAAGUACUUUAUCUACGUUUUGGUGCUUAAAUCAUGCAUGGCCACAUACCUAAUUAAGAUGUGAAUUAACUACGUUUGUAAAUUAUUAAAAAACAAUUCUUUCUAUUGAAAAUGUUGUGCCUCGAUUUCUUAAUUUUUGGAAAUUAAAGUCAGUAUGUAAAGCACUCGUAUUUCUUUUUCCCUAAAAAUAUUUUCAUGUAAAAUUCCACCUCCGAUAUCUAUAAAAUUAAUUAUUAGCACCAUUACUUUGCGGGGAAAUUAUCUAUAAAAGUUUUUUAUCUCCUUAUCUAGAGAUCUUGUUGAGUGGAGUUUGUCCCUUACAUGUUCUGCUCUUAGAGUUAGUCUUCCAACCAGGAUAAGACUCUUCCUUAAACUUUGAAAUUUCACUGUUAUCUUCCCUCAAUUGUUUUCGAUAUUGUUGGUAGCAGACUGUUACACAAUGCACUGAUACCAACAGCUGAAAUUAUAUAAGUAACAUCCCUUCAAUGUGUAACUUUGUUAGUUCAUUUCACUGCGAACCUCCAUAUAUCAUUCUUGUCUGCCAUAGACUCUCUCUCUAAAUUCUAAACCGAUUGCCAGGUUGUUCGCACAAAGUUUUUUGACAUGCCACCUUUGACUGUCUCGGAAGCUAUUGAGCAGCUGGAAAAUGUGGAUCAUGAUUUCUAUGGUUUCAGGAAUGAAGAAACUGGUAUGAACUUAUGCAGCUUGUUUCAAUUUCUUUUUCACUUAUCCUCUGCAAUCUGUUAACUAAUAGAACCAGCUAGAGAACCAUCAUUGGCAGAGUAACCAGGCCUAGAAAAUAAGAUCUUCCUAUAAAAUAGAUUACAAAACCCACGUUUUUGGUAAUGCUGUAUAUACAAUGCUAAGGCAUCUAAGAGAGCAUGAUAUAGGGUUCGAGACCUGGUGAACGCACACUAACGCGAUGUCAAGACAUGAUUGUACUGGUUAUUAGAUUUUGGAAGAUUAGGUUCAGUGUGCUAUGUCCCAACUUUUACUGGAAUGAGAAGACAAAUCUUGCAAUUUAUAAGAUGGAAAUCAAUUCGAUAAAGUCUUCUUUCCAUGCGGACGAGUCUUAACUAUUUUCUCUUUCCUGUGGAUUUUCAGUUAUGUAAUGGAAAUCAAUUCGAUGAAGUCUUGCUUCCUGUUGUAUUUUCUCGUCAUGCUAUGUAUGGUUCUUUGCUUGCUGCCAUGUUAACUUCCUUGGUUGGGAAUUCUCUCUAGCGAAGUUUUGCACGAGCCUACUUCUGUGAAACUUCUGCCUAUGUUCAAACAAGUAAAAAUUGGAUUUCUUACAACAUGAGCCCCAUCUGACCCAGUUUAGGUCGUGACUUGCAUUGCCUUCCAGAGCGGUGGAAAACUUCUUGGUGAAAGAGAUGUCCAUUAUCCCGGUUAUGGAAAUGUCAAGUGGAGGUUCAGUAAAGAGUUCAUAUGUGGACAAAACAGCUCCCUGUUAGCAAUACUAUCGUGAAGUUUACGAACAUAUAUUUAUAGCCAUAGCAAUUAGAUUUCAAUUGUCAGAAAAUACAAAUACCAUACCAUAGAAAAGAAAUUGUUAACUCUUUGUCUAGUCUAUCGAAGUCCUUGAUCUGUGCACAUGAAGAAAUCAGAGGUUUUCUUGCUGUACUAGAGACUCCAUAUAUUUUUACUUUGUGAAACGUAUUUUUUCUGAAUACUUCUUUCCCAUCUAAAGGUGUGUGAGUGUAACCCGGUGGAAAGUUUGGUAUUGUGAUAGCUUUUGUGGUUGUGGUUUGAAAAAAGUUGUUUUAUAAAAAGUAUUUUUAGUUGAGAUUGAUUUGGUAUUUAUAUAUGUUUGGUUAAAACUGUAGUUGAAAUUAAGGUUGAACAAAAAGUAGUUUAAUGUGUUUGGUUAAGAAUUCUUUUCAAAUUGAGGUUAUAAAAUAAUUUUAAAAAAUACAUAUUAAUAUUAAUGGUUUUUAAUUUAAAUAUUGUAGAUGUAACUACUGCUAUUACAUCUUGAAAUAAAUAAUACUUUAUAUAAAAUAAUUUUUAUUAUUCCAUUAAACUAUCUACAAUUCCAUCACGUAUGAAAUACAUCCGACAAUAACUAUAGUUUUCUUAGUUUUUUAAGCGCGCAACAAUAUCAGGUAAAAUAUAAUGAGGAACAAAAUUGAGAUUGCGAUCAAAUUCUGCAAAUACUACGUCAUCAAGCGAUCUCCGUCUAAUUUAUGUAGUGAUACUUUAUAAUGUUAAACACUAGUUUUUCAAAUAAAACACAAUUAAAAAUAAAAAAUUUAAUUUAAUUUUUUUAAACACUAAGUUUUUGAAUAAAACACAAAUAAAAAUAAAAAAUAAAAUUUAUUUUUUUUAUUUUACUGGGUUGGACCCGGUUCAAUGCAUUUAGAUCUGGACCGGACCGAUAAACACUAGUUUUUUUAAUAAAACACAAUUACAAAAAUAAAAAAUAAAAUUUAUUUUUUUACUAGAUUGGACCCGGUUCAAUGCAUUUAGCUCUGGACCAAACCAGACCCAACCCGGUCCGGCCGAAACAGUGGAGAGUGACUCCACUGUUCCAUUCCACAUGAAGAAGAGGAAAGCAGCAUUAAGCUGCUUCUAACAACCCUGCGUUUUAAACGCAAUUAAUAGUGGGGUUCAUGAAUAGUAAAUCAAGUUUCACUUAUUACCAAACACUGAUUUUUCAUGGUUUGCUUCAUCAGCAAACACAACGACGGAAAAAAACAAUCACUUAAUAUAUAUACCAAUUCAAUAUUGAUAUAUCCUUAAAUUUUUUUCUCAUCGAUACAAUAUCACUUAUACCAAAAACAAAAGAGUUCAAAUUACAUAAAUCAUGGUGAUAAGUAUUUUGAAGCAAGUUCUACCUUCCAUGUAUUACAAUGCAACUUUCUCUUUUGAAUCAAAACCAUUAUUUUUAUGAAUGAACUUCCAAAUAUUCAUUUAGGGUCACAAAUAAAAAUUCAAAUAUAUUUUGUCAUUCUCUUAACGUCAUGUAUACAACUAAGAUAAUGUUUGGGAAUGCGGUUGAAAUUGUGUCUCUUAAAUAUUUAAAAACAAAUUCUUUUUUUUCUUUAAAAUUAUUUUUUUAUGUUUUCAGAUCGUUCUGUCUGUUGGAUAAAAAAACUAUGUAAGUCACAAAAUAUAGAGCUGGUAUUUUAAGCAUAGUAAUCUCUCUCCCUAAAUAGAGAUUUAAGAGAUUUCUCGCUGGUGAUUCGUGUGAAUUACCGUUGAAGGUCGGACAAUUGGAUGACUUAUAAUUUACGAUAACCCAGCUUUUAAAGAAUUAUUUAAAGAAAAAAAAUAUCAAACCUUCAGGUGAUAAAAUCUUCAAACAAUUCUAGAUCUAUCUAAUAUGAUUCUAGGGAUUCUUAAAUAAUUUUGUUUUAUUAUUUCUGUUGCGUGUAAGACAUUCAGGAAUUGACUCUAUUGAACUUUCCUUUCUUUGUUUAUGGCCAUUGAUGUUUCUCAAGGGAUCAAGCACAAGUCAAAUACCAUUUCUAAUUUUUUAAGAGCUUUUUCUCAAAGUCCAAAGGUGGGGAGAAUACAUGCUUCCAAGAUUCACAUUAUAAGAAAAGGAAGAGAUUCAAAAAAAGAAAGAAUAAUAAUAGAAGCCUUGAGGCUUGAUAGUGUUGAAAUGGUAUUAUGAUUUGCCUCAAUUGUUGUUAUAUACUAGAUAGGUGAUUCAUGUUAUGCCAUGAGCUGGGUUAAUUUUUUCUCAAUGUAAAAAACAAAAUGUAAAGGCGAUGCUGAUGUUUUUAAAGAAGCAAGAAAAAUAUAAAAUCCAGAUUAUUGACUCAACUGAGUUUAAUAAGCCCAAUCAAUUUAAUAAUAUGAUUUAAAAAGACAUCGUAAAUACUGUGAAAAAAAAAAGUAAUUAACCAUAAAAAAAUAAGUUGUCACUAUGAUAUUCGAGAGGAGAAGAAAGAAAAGCCCAUUAGAGACCUACAGAAGUUCCAUCGUGGACACCGCUCAACCACCAGAAAGACCUUAUCAAGAUGAUUCUAAUGUCAUUAUGAAAUGCUCCAUGACAACACCAAAACAGACCGUACACAUUAUCAGAGCAAUGACCCAAAAGGAAAACUAAACAAAAGAUCAUGAGAUGAACAUCUCAUGUUUAUAUUUAAUUUAGUUCAAAAACAAGAUUUCUAUAUAUAAAAAAGCUAAAUUUAACAGAGAUCAACAAAUAGAAAGACUUAAGGAAAAAAAAAGAAGAAGCAAACCUGAGUGAAUUUCCUAAACUAGGUUAAUCUCUUAAAUUCACAAUAAGUGAAAUCCUAGAUCCAGACUUAAUUAAGAAGCUUGUUUUUUUUUACAAAUUCAAUGUUGAAGUAUAAAAUCAGAAAAAAAAUAUCAAUUCAAAAAAAUUAUGAAGGAAAAAAAAUAAUAAUUAAAAGAAUAAGGAUCAAAUUGGUGGGAAAAAAAACUAAAGGAUGAUGAACUCAUAAAAAAACUUCUAAAAAUCAUCUCAAAUAAAACAAAUAUCAAUUAAGAGAAUAAGGACCAAAUAUAAGAGAUAAAAAAUUGAAGGGAGAUGAUAUUGCAAAAAAAAUUAAAUUUCAUAAAUUAUUUCAAAUGAAACAAAUAGUAAUCAAAAGAAUAAAAAUUAACUCUAAAGGAAGAAUAAAUGAAAGGUUGCUUUCAAAUUUUAGAGGGUCAGCACAUAAACCAAGAGAGAGAGAGGGAAAAAGGGAAAAAAAGAAAAAGUUGGCCGCGCCAAACCAAAGCGCCAUUUGAAGCACAUUCCGCAAACAAAAGGGAUGUCGUAGUUUGACCAUCAUAUGGCUUCUCAAGCAUCUUCCAAAGGAUGCAAAGACAACCUACAUGGUAACAUAUGCAUUGCUUACACUAGCAAGUUUUUUUUUAAUAACAUUUAUAUUAAAUCAAUUACCAAAGAGCCCUUAACAAACUUGAAUAUUACAAAAAAAAAAAAAAACUCCAAUGUAAAAUGAUGCAAAUGGUCAUAAGUUAUAAAAUCUUUGCUUUCAAGGUUAAAUGAGUUAUUUUACUUUUUUUUUUUAAGAAAAAUACGAUAAAGCCUCUAGACCCAGGUUUUAAAAUAAUUUUUUUUAAGAAAGAUGAAGUAAUUUUAUUGCGCUGAAACAUAUGAAAAGACAUUUUUGAUGCCAUCUAAUUUGAAAAUGAUUUUUUGACCAUAAAAGACAAUUCUAUCCUUAUGAAAGGCUUAAUGAUUUUUAUAUAGAAUAACAAAAUUAUCAUUUCACUAAAAUAAUCCACAGUAACAUAUAUCUUGGUAUACAAUAAAAAACUAAGCUCUUAUAUUUUUUUUAAUAAGUGUUUUUUAUAUAGUACAAUGAAUCCUUCUAAACUUAGAAUACUAAAUGGAACAUACUAAAUUUAAAAUAUUAAACUGAAAAUGAUUACUGAAUAUAUAUAUAUAUAUAUAUAUAUAUUCAACAAAUAAAAUUAUCAUUCAAAUUUAAAGAUAAAUUAACUUAAAAUUAUGUAAUUCAAAUUUUAAAGACGUAAAAAAAUAGGAGUUGAGCCGAUAUGACUUAAUCGACUCUCGACGAGUCUGUAAACAAUCUAGACAACUGAUAAAAAUAUAUUUUAAAAAAAAAUCAAGAAGAAAUUUUUUUUUGAAAAAAUAUUGAGAUGACAACAUAUUGGAUUGACCCAGGUCAACCUAAGUUAACCUUUCAAAUUCGCGACAUAGAUCAAAAGACCAUGAUAACUCCAAAUAAAACAAAUCAUAAAGCUCAAUUUUCAAUAAACUCAUUUUUGAAUGACGAAAUUAGGAAAAAUUCAAUUUUAAAAAAGAUCACAAUAGAAUGAUCUAAAUCUACUUGGGUUAACUUGCAAAACUCAUAACCCAGAUCAUGAGGUUAUGAUAAUUUCAUAGAAAACAAACUGAAACAAAUAACAAAGCUUAAUAUAUAAUCAACCAAAUAUUAAAAAUAUUAAAUAGUGAAACUAAAUAAAAAUCAAUUAAAAAAAAAAAAAAACUCAAGUCAACUAAGUUAAUUCAUCAAACAACAUGGAAAGGAAUCUACAACUUUUAUCUUUAUCAACUAGGGUAAAAUUGUAACUGAACUAUGAAUAGGUAGAAGAAUAGCUAGAAUAAUAUUGCGGUGUGUCCAACACUCUUGUGCAGUCAAUUGUGGAGAAUAAUAUUGCGGAGUGUCCAACAGUCUUGUACGGGAAUGUAAUAUGAAAAGGAUUGCUCUAAAGGCAACUCAUGCAAAAGCAACAAGUAAGAGUUCAUUAAUAAUAUAAUUACCGUGUUUCCAACACUCACUACUCUUGUUUAGUCUUCUUAUAUAUAUAUUUAAAAACACCCAGCUAAUGACUUUGAUCCCUCGUCUUUAAAUGUGUGGAAAUAUUUGCAAUGCAGUAUUCAACACUGUACAAAGGAAGACUCACAUAACAUUGUUGCCGAGGGGAAAAUUUGAAACCGCAUUCCCUCAAAUUUCAAAAACAAAAUUCGUUAUAAAUUAUUUUUUUAUAUUUUUAUAUCGUUUUGAUAUACUGAUCAUAAAAAUAAUUUUUAAAAAAUAAAAAACACUUUAAACCUAUCACAAUCUCAAAGAUUUCAUUUCUACGUAACAAAAGCCGAAUAUUAGAAAAAUUAUCCUGGAAACUAAUAUUGCCGUGUUUCCCACACUUGUAUGGAAAUAUUUAAACUUUCAAUAAUUAAACCUUCAGUCCCAUGUUUUGCGCCACUUGUUUGACAAUAUAUAUAUAUAUAUAUAUUAGUUGCGGAGACUUAAAGGUCAAUGAAACGGACAGACUUGAAAAAAGAAUGAUCUAAAGAGAAAUGGAUGAUCUAUCACAAUCUAAUUAUUUUAAUGGCAUUUUAGUCAUUAAUAUUACUCUAAAGAGAAAUGGAUGAUCUAUUCAAUAAUCUCACAGUUUAAGUUCAAAACAUUAAAAGGUAAUUUCUUGUAUACUUUAUCUACGUUUUGGUGCUUAAAUCAUGCAUGGCCACAUACCUAAUUAAGAUGUGAAUUAACUACGUUUGUAAAUUAUUAAAAAACAAUUCUUUCUAUUGAAAAUGUUGUGCCUCGAUUUCUUAAUUUUUGGAAAUUAAAGUCAGUAUGUAAAGCACUCGUAUUUCUUUUUCCCUAAAAAUAUUUUCAUGUAAAAUUCCACCUCCGAUAUCUAUAAAAUUAAUUAUUAGCACCAUUACUUUGCGGGGAAAUUAUUUAGUAGAAACAAAGACUUUGGGGUCAAGAAAAAGGACAGACCAAGUCCUAAGUGAUUCCCCAUAAAAAAGACUUUAGUUCGUGACUACGCUGAACUUUCCUUUCUUUGUUUACGGCCACUUUGUUUCCCAGGGGACAGGCCACGUCGUCAGUUAAUAAACUGUUGAUUUGUUUGUGUAUAAAUAGUACCAAUGCGAAUCUUUACUUCUCAUCUUUCGCUCAACACUCCAAAUAUACUUUCGAAUCCUGUAAGGCCAGCCAACAUGGGGUUUUCACCGCUGUCCCUCCCUCAAUUUCUCUCUUCCAUUCUGUUUCUCUUCCAUUUCCACACAGCAAUUUCUUCAUCAAAUUACUCCUCUUCAUCUCAUUUCUGUGCUCCUGACCAAAGCCUUUCUUUGCUCCAAUUCAAAGAGUCCUUUUCCAUUAAUAGCUCUGCUUCAGGGCGUUGCCAGCAUCCCAAGACAGAGUCGUGGAAAGAGGGUACAGACUGCUGCUCGUGGGAUGGGGUCACUUGUGAACUGGAAACUGGGCAAGUCACUGCACUGGACCUUGCUUGCAGCAUGCUUUAUGGCACCCUCCAUUCCAAUAGCACCCUCUUCUCCCUGCAUCAUCUUCAAAAGCUCGACCUCUCUGACAAUGAUUUCCAAAGCUCCCAUAUUUCUUCUUCAUUUGGCCAGUUCUCCAAUCUGACACAUCUUAACCUAAAUUUCUCAGGCUUUGCAGGUCAAGUACCGUCGGAAAUCUCUCAGCUCUCCAAAUUGGUUUCACUUGAUCUCUCUGGAAACUACUACCCAAGUCUAGAACCAAUUUCUUUUGACAAGCUUGUUCGAAACCUAACCAAGCUUAGAGAACUCGAUUUGAGUUGGGUAAACAUGUCACUAGUUGUUCCCGAUUCCUUGAUGAAUCUGUCUUCUUCUCUGUCAUCGCUCACACUCUAUUCGUGUGGAUUGCAAGGAGAAUUCCCGUCCUCAAUGGGAAAAUUUAAGCACCUCCAGCAGUUGGAUCUUGCAGAUAACAAACUUACAGGUCCAAUUUCAUAUGAUUUUGAGCAACUCACUGAGUUGGUUUCACUUGCUCUCUCUGGAAACGAAAACGACUAUCUAAGUCUAGAACCAAUUUCUUUUGACAAGCUUGUUCAAAAUCUAACCCAGCUUAGAGAACUCUAUCUGAGGUGGGUGAAUAUGUCAUUGGUUGAACCCAAUUCCUUGAUGAAUCUGUCUUCUUCUCUGUCAUUACUCGUACUCUAUUCAUGUGGAUUGCAAGGAAAAUUCCCAUCCUCAGUGAGAAAAUUUAAGCACCUCCAGUACUUAGAUCUUAGAUACAGCAAUCUUACAGGUUCAAUUCCAGAUGAUCUUGGACAACUCACUGAGUUGGUUUCAAUUGAUCUCUCUUUCAAUGCCUAUUUGAGUGUAGAACCAAGUUCUUUUGACAAGACUCUUCAAAACCUAACCAAGCUAAGAGGACUCCGUUUGGGUUAUGUAAAUAUGCCUUUGGUCAUACCUAAUUCCUUGGCGAAUCUGUCAUCAUCCUUGUCAGCUCUUGCCCUUUGGGGUUGUGGAUUGCAUGGGAAGUUCCCAGAUAACAUCUUUCUCCUACCAAACCUUGAAGUGCUUGAUUUGACAUACAACGACGACCUCACUGGCUCUUUUCCUUCAUCCAAUGUGAGUAAUGUCCUCCGGUUAUUGGGUCUUACUCGUACGAGAAUUUCAGUUCAUUUAGGAAAUGACUUCUUCAAUAAUCUAAAGUUGUUGGAAGUUUUGGUUCUUAGAAAUUCUAAUAUCACAAGGUCAAAUCUGUCCCUUAUUGGUGAUCUCACACAUCUCACUCGUUUAGAUCUCGCAGGUAGCAAUUUUAGCGGUCAGAUUCCAUCAUCAUUUACAAAUCUUGUGCAACUUCAAUCCUUGUAUCUUGAUAACAAUAAUUUUUCAGGUAGGAUUCCAGAGUUUUUAGGUAACCUUACCCACCUUGAAAAUUUAGGUUUAUCCAAUAAUCAACUCUCAGGACCUAUCCCUUCUCAAAUAAGUACUCUUUCAUUGAGAUUGUUUGAUUUGAGCAAAAACAACUUGCAUGGUCCAAUCCCAAGUUCAAUUUUCAAACAAGAGAACCUGGUAGCCCUUUCUCUUGCAUCCAACAGUAAAUUAACAGGUGAAAUUUCUUCCUCUAUUUGCAAGCUUAAAUUCCUUCGACUCCUUGAUUUGUCCAACAACAGCUUGAGUGGUUUUAUACCACAAUGUUUAGGGAACUUUAGCAACUCUCUCUCAGUUUUGAAUCUUGGCAUGAAUAAUCUUCAAGGCACUAUCUUUUCACAAUUUUCAAAAGGGAAUAACUUGGGAUAUCUCAACCUAAAUGGCAAUGAAUUGGAAGGGAAAAUACCAUCGUCUAUCAUCAACUGCAUAAUGCUGCAAGUUCUUGAUCUUGGUGACAAUAAAAUUGAGGACACAUUUCCCUAUUUUCUAGAAAAGCUUCCAGAGCUGUAUAUCCUUGUCCUAAAGUCCAAUAAACUCCAUGGUUUUGUGACUAGUCCGACUACUAAAAAUUCAUUCUCCAAAUUGCGGAUCUUUGACAUCUCCAACAAUAAUUUGAGUGGACCUUUACCAAUAGGGUAUUUCAAUAGUUUUGAAGCAAUGAUGGCCUAUGAUCAAAAUCCGUUUUACAUGAUGGCCUAUUCCAUAAAAGUGACAUGGAAAGGGGUUGAGAUUGAGUUCGAGAAAAUCCAAAGCACUCUUAGAAUGCUUGAUUUGUCAAACAACAGUUUCAUCGGAGAAAUUCCAAAGAUGAUCGGAAAGUUUAAAGCAGUUCAACAACUCAACCUCUCUCAUAAUUCCCUUACAGGCCAUAUUCAAUCAUCAUUUGGAAUGUUGACCUAUCUGGAAUCAUUAGAUUUGUCUUCGAAUUUGCUUACCGGAAGGAUUCCAGUACAGUUGGCAGAUCUAACAUUUCUUGCAGUCUUAGACCUUUCACAUAACAAGCUUGAGGGGCCCGUACCCGGGGGAAAGCAGUUCAACACGUUCAAUGCAAGCUCAUUUGAAGGAAACUUGGACUUAUGUGGAUUCCCCAUGCCAAAAGAAUGCAAUAAUGACGAGGCACCACCAUUGCAGCCAUCAAACUUUCACGAUGGAGAUGAUUCAAAAUUCUUUGGAGAAGGAUUUGGAUGGAAAGCUGUGGCAAUAGGGUAUGGAAGUGGGUUUGUGUUUGGAGUCACAAUGGGAUACGUUGUGUUCAGAACAAGAAAACCAGCAUGGUUUCUGAAAGUUGUUGAAGAUCAAUGGAAUCUGAAGGCAAGAAGAACGAAGAAGAAUGCUCGUAGGAAUGGUGCAAGAAGAAACUAAACAACGGAGCUAGUAACAUGAGGUAAGUUCUGCAAGCAUUAUUUGACAUCUUAAGGUUUUACGUGCAAGAGUUUAUGCUAUUUUUUCUGUGCUAUUUCCUUUGAUUAGUCUUUUCUUUCGCUUUCGGAUUCAUUAAAUAAAAAAAAUUAUUUGUAUGUUUCUCUAUUGCAGUGAAGUUAGGAAUAAACAUUCUCGCUACCUUAUGAGAUACCAAGUGGAGGUUGACAUGAGAAGAACGCUAGAGUGGCAGAUUCAGAGAAUUGGAUUCCUCUUUCGUACUGCUUCUGUUUUCCUUCAUGGUUGUGUUUUAAUUUUAUUUUUUUUAUUAGUUGUAUUCGAUACAUGGAAUAUUUUCGAGUCACUUAAUAUGCAUGUUUUUAUUUAUUUAUUUUUAUGGUUAGUUUUGAUGCAAGGUUUGGGUGUUACAUCUAUUAAAAAAGAACCAAUGCAUGCAGCAGUUGUUACAACUUUACUUCAAUCACCCUUUCUUAGUGUAUUCAAACUUUACUUCAAUCUCUAAAUAAACUAUUUAUUUAUUUAGGAGUGCGCUUUAACAUUUCGAUUCAUUAACAAUUUAUCAAAGUUAAUCCAUACAACUAAAAUACAUGUAAACUGCAUAUAUAUGUCGGACAGCUUUGCAAUAUUGAAAAAAGAAAAUACAGAAAACAUUCGCAUUAUCAUUUUCUUUAUGGUAUCAGAGCUCUAGUUCUGAGAACCUAGCUAGGAAUCCAUACAACUAAAAUACCUCAUGCCUGGUGACGAAGACCAAAAGCUUCUUGAAUAUAACAGGCGCUGUCGAACUCUUUCAAGACCUCAGAACCAUGGGAGAACUCCAAUCAUCCACCUUUUCUCCAUCACUCCGAUCAACCCGGCGCUGUCCUCGUUUCACAACAAAUUCUAGUGCUCUGUUCCUUGCCUACUUUUGGGCAGUGUUAUCAUGCAAACAGAAGCGUUGGCAAAGUAAGUAGUUCCAAAUAUUUCUAGCAUAGAUUUAUGCAUGCAAAAUAGUAAUGUGAAUAAGCAACCUUGUUAAAGCUUAGCUCCUGGAAAUGGAAUGCCGCCGCAAAUUGCAACUGGAAAAAAAAAACCAAAUAUGUAAUUUGGUGGCUAGUCUUGUUAGGUUUCGGAAUCAAAACAAUUAAAGCUUGAUUUGUAAAUCAUAUUUUAGAGAUUUAGUUUGAUUGUAGUUUUUGUAAUUAAAUCCUAAAAAUUAGUUGCUAGUCUGUCAGUUUACUUAUUUAGACAAGAUCUUUUCUAUGUAAACUAUAUAUAUGCAUUGUAGAAAUCACACAGAAUAAUAAAACUGCCUUGCUGUUCUUCAAACUCCCACAGUCAGCUUUCUUGUUUUCUUCAAGUCUUGCAAACGAGACCGACUCGUUCCUCGUAAUGAUGCAGCUGUCGACCAUCAACCUCGCACCUACAAGAAAUGGUGAGGCAUAUUACAGCACUUACAGUAUUAAACGGGUAGCAACGAUGAAGCGAAGACGAGGCCGGUGCCAGAAACAGAGCAUUUCACUCAUAACCAUGGACUUGGAUUGCAAUGAGAUAACAGCGAAGGAUUCAAAAGCCUUAUUUAGAACAUGCAUGUUUGUGAGUAAUUCAUAUUAAGAAUUUUUCUGCUUCCAGUUGCUACAGUAAUUUAGAAAAUGCAUGGACGUUUACCGGUUUCGAUUGUUAUUGGAUAAGCAUGAAUACGGUAAUCGAGAUUAAGCAAUGAAAUUGAUUGAGAAUAUUAACAAUCAACGAAAAUCAAUUAAGAUUCAGACUACAAAUAGAAAUAAAAUAUGAAAAUCUAAUUACCUACGAUUCCUUCUUCGCUUCGUUCUCCCAUUUUUAUGUAUUCAGCAUCAAUAGUGUCAGCAUCAGGUAAGAAGGUUGAGAUAUGCGCAUACUUACCUUAACCAAAGUCGAGGUGGGAAGAAUGCCUGCUUCUGAGAUUCACAUUAUAAGAACAAGAAGAUAUUCAAAGAGAGGAAGAAGAACAAGAGAAGCCUUGAGGCUUGAUAGUGCUGAAAUUGUGUUAUGAUUUGCCUUAAUUGUUGUUAUAUACAAGUGUUUUUUUUUAUAUAGUUCAAUGAAUCCUACCAAACUUAAAAUACUAAAUUGAAAAUAUUAAACUGAAUAUAUAUGAUUACAAUAAUUUAAUACACAGGUCUCGGGCCUUUAUUAAAUUAUGCUGGAUCAGACUAAACUUCAUGCCUCAACACACAUGUCAUCCAUCAAUGAACUUUUUCUUCUGAUCUUGUCCUCCAUGGAAUCUAAUUAGAGAACAAAAUGUAUCUAAUAGCAAGGAAAAAGUUGCUUAAAUUGCAAACUAAUUACAUGAGAAAUAAAAGUGAAGAAAUUCAUGCAUAUGAUUAAAUAAAAACAGGAAUUAAGAAAUUUUUAAAAAUAAAUUUUCGGGCAAAAUAAUUCGAGACAUUAUAAAUAAACACGGUAAUGUUGAGGGUUGGAUUUAAUUGAAGAGAACAAUACACUUAAAGGAAAUGGGGCCUAAAUGCAAAUAAGAGAAAUUAUGGAGUAUAAAUACUCUUCUCCUCAUAAAAAAUCUGCAAGAACCAUAAGGAAAGAAAAUAGGGAGUUUUGUAUCCAUUCUUGCAAAAUCAAGAGAGAAACACUAAAAUUUCAAGAAUCCAUUUAAAAUUAAGAGUUUAUAGAUGGAAUAAACACUUGUGAGUAAGGGAUUAACAAGAAAAAUUGAAGUCCUCAAGGGGCGUGGCGUGAUGGCAAAGGGGUUGAGAUCUGCACAGUAGGUCUCGAGUUCGAGUCAAGGCGUGUACCUCUUGUAAGAGCCUGGGACAGUCGGGGUUUUACUCGCUCACCUGGGCCCAUAAAGUGCGCUUUCCGGGGGGUGGUGUUUCCUCAAAUCCAAAAAAAAAAGAAAAAAAGAAAAAGAAAAAGAAAAAUUGAACUAGAAGAGAAGAAGGAGGGCAGACUGUCAUUAAAAAAGAAAGGAGGGAGUUGAAAAUCUUUAACUGGUUGAAAAUCAAAAUCUUAAUUUGUAUCGGGUAUGGUGUUCUAAACAUAAUCUUAAAAUUCAUUUCAAAUUCGAUAAUGAAUCGAUGCCUUGAUAUUGAAUUAUAGGUUAGGGUUCUUAUACAUGAAAUGGGGAAAAAGUAUUUGUUGUUAAAAUUAAGUUAAUUCAUGUGUGGUAUGUGAUGGGGGGCGUGAAACCCAAAUAAUUUACCCAUAAAAUAUAGUUUGUGAAAGUAUUGUGUGAAGGGAAGGGGGUGACGAAUUUGGACAGACUUGUCUCCUAACUUUCGGUGAGAUUUUGGAUAAGAGGAUGAAAUAAUUAGGAUCGGAUUCCUUCAUGGACAUUGUAGUUUUGGAUGUUAGCUAACCAAGGAAACUAGUCUUGCUCAAUUUGGAGCUGUAGAACUCCAGUUAUGGGUCACCAACCAAUACUGAGUCGUGACUGAUUCUGUAGGGCAGUAAGACUGAUUAGUUGAUGAGCAAUUUUGACUUUCUUGGAGGUAGAAUUGGGUUCUCCUUCCUUUAGAGAACUUGUAACCUCGUGUCUUAGCUUUCCAACGAGAUCAAUAUCACUUGAAAUGGAGUUCUAGAACUCUGUAUAUAGUUAAAAAUCUGAGGAGUGUUCAGACAGUAACAAUUGGACAGUAACAAUUCAAUGUCUAGACAGUAAUAAUUCAAUUUCUAGACAGUAAUCGUUAGACAGUAACAGUUGGACAGUAACAGUUCAAUGUCUAAACAGUAACAGUUCAAUGUCUAGACAGUAACCGUUGGACUUUCACGUGAAUACUAUAUGUAAGAAUAUAAAAGAAUUGAGUCAUACGAACACUUGCACAUUGAGAUACUAACUCUGAAAAUAUACAUGAUAUAUGUAUGUAUGUUAUUAUGAGAAAAUGAACAUGCAUAGAAAGUAACAUAUGAGUAAUAAAUGAAUAUGGAUUCUCUAUAAUAUCGGCUUGAAGGAAUCAUAACCAAAAACUUCCUUGUGAUUCAGGAGGAGCAACCAGGAUUGGAUCUUCUAUUAGGGGAGGUCACGAGACAGACGGAGCAGGUGCGUGAUUUUCCCUCCUAUUUGCACUUCUACAAUUUAAAAUACUUCUGGUGAAUGCAAUUACAAUAAAUAUCGUAUUCAAUGUAAAUAAAGUCUAGUGUAUUUACAAGAUUAGGUUCGACUAAUGGCAUCCGUGAUAGGAUUGCCGGGAUAUGAAUCACAGGAUUAGGUUCGGCUAAUGGCAUCCGUGAUAGGAUUGCUGGGAAAUGAAUCACAGGAUUAGCUACGGCUAAUGGCAUCUGUGAUAGGAUUAGCUUCAAAUUGUUGGGAAAUGAAUUACAAGAUUAGCUACGAUUAAUGGCAUCCGUGAUAGGAUUGCCGAGAAAUGAAUUACAAGGGUAGCUUGGGCUAAUGAUGUCCGCGUUGGGAUGCCCGGGCACGAUUGAUAAGACUCGAUUUGUAAAAAGUAUCCGUGUUCGAAUGACCUGGGGAAAUUGAUAAUUGCCUAAAAAUGUCCAUGUUGGACUUUGCAAGGUUACCCGGUUCAUGCAAGUAAAUAAGAGUAUUCAAAUUAAAAAUAUGCAAAUGAGUGUUAAUUGGGUUUAAAUGAAUUACAAGUAAAAUAUAUGUUGUCUGUUAGAAUUUGUAUGGAUCCGAUAGAAAAUUUAUAUGUCAUUCAUAUACAUUACAUGAGCAUAUAUAUAUAUUUCUUUUAUCAACAUAAUGGUAUGUUUAUUUAUGUAACAGGUCCAUCAAAUAUCCAGGGAGAUCAUUAGUUUAUGACUCUACUUUGUCAAGCUUAUGUAAAUAUUUAACUUAAACAUAAUGGAAUUAACGCGUUUAUAUAUUAUGCUUUUGUGUAAACCUUGAUGUAUUUAUAAAAGUUCAGUUUAACAUGUAGUACUUUAGUUAUCUUGUAAUUAACCCUUUUCAAAUGUUUAAGAACACUUAUUAUGUUGUAAAUGCUCUCCUUGCAUGUUAGUAUUCAUUUUUCUUUUAAAUUUUAUGAUAUGAUAUGUGGGCUAUUGUCGCAAGUGUGCGGCGUCGCGGCGAUCGCCCACCAUCCAAGAAAAAAAGAAAAAUGGAAUGUGGUGUAUUCCUGGCAAAUGUGUAGAGACAAAGAAUUCUUGUCUCCUAUCAGUAAAAAAUGAAUAGGAGUUGCCACCUAGUAUUCUGGUCACUAGGAACCCUAACUGGUCUCAGAGAUCGGGUACGGAGACUAGUUGCGUAAAGGGAAGGUAUUAGCACCCCAAAUACGCCCUACCUAAGAUAGGCUGCAUUGUUUUGUCUGAUAAAAUCUCAAGUCAUGUUGUGGUUUCUAAUUGUUGGUCUGUCUAAGGUUCAAGACAAGCCCCCCUUUAGAAGGAGGUUCUUAUCUUAAUGCGAUAAAAUCUAACCGUUCUAUUGUCCAAAAAAUAAUUAAAUAUCCAGAAUAUGCAUUAUGUGUAAUGUCGUACCCCAGAUACUAACAGAUAAACAAAAUAAAAUUUUUGUUGUUUUUGAAAUUUUGGCCAAUGUUCUCUUGACUUUAAUAAACUGGUUAUUAAAGCCAAAAUGCAUGAUGAAACAUUGUUUUAUCAAAUUUUUUUUUUGUGUAUGAAAAACACACUAUGAUUUUGUUAGCUUUGAGACACUUGGCCGAAUGCACAAAAACAUUUUUUAUUUUUUCAAUUUUUUUCGUAUUUUUGGAAGUUUUGACGACAACCAGGUAUUUUAAUAUCAUAUUUGUAUUUUUACCAUGUAAAAUACUGCCCGAUAUUAAUCAAAAUAACAUAAAAACUACGCGGAAAAAAAAAUAAAAUGCUGAAACAAAUAUUUUUAAUUUUUUUUCUUGAAAUGGGCCGGAUCAGGCCCAAAUGCAUAGGUUGGGCCAAACAGCCCAACUAUAUGGGCUGGGCUCGGCCCAGCCCACAUUAGCUAGUUACUGUGCAUGAGCACAGUAAUCAGCUUCUCCCCGCCUACAGACGUGCACUGUGCACGUCUUGCGUGGCGAGGGAAGAAGUGAAGGCAAAAUAAAAAUGGCGGAGGGCUUACCUGGAGUGGCGGCGACGCUGGUGGCUGCUGGCGGCGAAGGCACGGUGGCCGGCGGUUUCUCCUCCUUCUUCCUCUGUGUUUUCUUCUUCCUUCGCUGUCUGUUUUUUCUUUCUUUUUCUUUCCUUUUCCUCUCGUCUUUUCUCUUCUCUUCUCUUCUCUUCUCUUCUCUUCUCUGUUCUGUCUCUCUCUCGUCCCUCUGUCCCUCUCUUUUUUUCAUUUGUUCUCGGUCUUUCGGUCUCUCUCUUCCCUCUCUUCCCUGUUCUGUUUUUCUUCCCCUUCCCCUGUUUUUAUAGGCAAAAACAGGGGAGGGAGACGUGGCUGGGGCGGCCACUGUGCUGCCGCCCCGAACCUCCCAAGGGGUAUGUCCCCUUCCUUCUUCCACCACGUGGCAAGCAAGUGGGUUGUUGGCGUCUUUUUUAGAGAGAGCUGGCGGUGGAACAAAAGAAAAAAUCUUCUUCUUCUUCCCCUGCUUCGCGUGUCCAAGGGAAGAAGAAGACAUGGGUGCCGUUCCAAACGGCACCGUUUCCAGCCUUUCUCUUGUUAUUUUAUUUUUUUAAUUUUUUUUUAUAACAGUGCAUGAAACGGCGUCGUUUUUCCCAAAACGCGUCGUUUCAUUUAAAUGGAUUUUGGCGCCAAAAACACGUCAGAUUCAAAAUCAGGCCUUCAAUUUGCGCGCGUUUUGCUUUUUGGUCCUUGGUCUCGGAUUUCUUCAAUUAAGUCCCUAAUUGGCCAUCAAACUUCAAUAUUUAUGCAAUUAAUCCCCUGAUUUGAUCAAAUUAACUCUAAAAAAAUAUAAUUUGAUCCCAGAACUUUAAUUACUUUAAAUUAAAGCCCAAAUUAACUCCAAAAUCAAUUUUUCUUGCAAUCAAAACCUCCAUAAAUUCAAUUAAACCUUCAAUAAAAUUUAAUUGAGUCCAUAAAUAUCUGAUUUUGGACUUUUCUUCCUCAAAUUCAAUUUUUUUUGUCAAUAGGGUUGUCAUCAGUUAACAAAAUAUUGCCAAAUUUUAAUCUUUGUAUUUUUUAACCUCCUCAACCAAUUUUUACCUAUUUUUUGGGUGCGCUGACAUCUUUUUUUCACUGUUUAUAUUUUUUGAUAGUAUAUUUUUUUUGUAUUUUAUUAUUUUUUGUGCGGGACCAAAAAUGAGUUACAACAGCUAUGUUCAUAUUGAACUUACUCGUAGGAUAUAUAUAUUGUGUGGAUUGUAUGAGGUGUUAAAUUAUGAUGAUUGAAAUAAUUAAGGUCCGGAAUUAUGGGACUUAUGAUGAUAAGUUGAUUGAGUAAAUUGAUAGUAGUUGAUAACUUGAGAUGUUGUAAAUACAAAUGAAACUCUGCCGAAUUUUUGGUAGAUUUCAAAAAAAAAAUACCCUCAAAUUAAGAGCAUAUAUUGAGAUCUUUUAACGUUGAUCAAGUCGUACAAUCGGGUCUGUUACAUACAUUUUCUACAGAUGUAAAUAUGAAGGGAUAUCAUCUUUACGUAUCUUUACCUAAAAUUGUUAAUGAACUAUAUAUGAAUAGUCCGAAAUGAUUUCCACAAAAAAUGUCAAUUAUGGAAAUUAAUAUUGCCGUGUUUCCAACACUAUUGUUUAGUCAACUAAGGGACCUACUUGUAUAGAAAUAUUUGCAAUUGAAUAAUUCAACCUUCAAUUCCAUAUUCAGCACCAAAUGAAGAUUAGCACAUAAACUUGCUGCAAAUGUAAAUGUAGGGAUAUUAUCUACUCUCAACAAAAAUCAUGGAGCCACUUCAUUUGUGAACAAUAAGAAACCGUUUGCUCUAUAGGCAACUCAUGCAAAAGAAACAAAGAAGAGUUCGCUAGCAACAAUAAAAUAAAUUUAAAUUAAAUAGCUUGCUCUUGAAUUAUGGAAAUGUCUUGUAGGACUACCACUUCAAAUCAUAAACUCAUUUAAAAUGGAGUAGGUAGUAACAUGCUAAUUAUUUUAAUGGCAUUUUAGUCAUUAAUAUUACUCUAAAGAGAAAUGGAUGAUCAAUUCAAUAAUCUCACAGUUUAAGUGAUCAAAACAAUAGAAGGGUAUUCAAUAAUAGACACAGUAAUUUCUUGUUUACUUUAUCUACGUUUUGGUGCUUAAAUCAUGCAUGGCCACAUACCUAAUUAAGAUGUGAAUUAACUACGUUUGUAAAUUAUUAAAAAACAAUUCUUUCUAUUGAAAAUGUUGUUCCUCGAUUUCUUAAUUUUUGGAAAUUAAAGUCAGUAUGUAAAGCACUCGUAAUUUGUUUUCCCUAAAAAUAUUUUCAUGCAAAAUUCCACCUCCGAUAUCUAUAAAAUUAAUUAUUAGCACCAUUAAUUUGCGGGGAAAUUAUCUAUAAAAGUUUUUUAUCUCCUUAUCUAGAGAUCUUGUUGAGUGGAGUUUGUCCCUUACAUGUUCUGCUCUUAGAGUUAGUCUUCCAACCAGGAUAAGACUCUUCCUUAAACUUUGAAGUUUCACUGUUAUCUUCCCUCCAUUGUUUUCGAUAUUAUUGGUAACAGACUGUUACACAAUGCACUGAUACCAACAGCUGAAACUAUAUACGUAACAUCCCUUCAAUGUGUAACUUUGUUAGUUCAUUUCACUGCGAACCUCCAUAUAUCAUUCUUGUCUGCCAUAGACUCUCUCUCUAAAUUCUAAACCGAUUGCCAGGUUGUUCGCACAAAGUUUUUUGACAUGCCACCUUUGACUGUCUCGGAAGCUAUUGAGCAGCUGGAAAAUGUGGAUCAUGAUUUCUAUGGUUUCAGGAAUGAAGAAACUGGUAUGAACUUAUGCAGCUUGUUUCAAUUUCUUUUUCACUUAUCCUCUGCAAUCUGUUAACUAAUAUAGGUACUGAAUUGCUGUGUGCUUGAUUCCAGGUGAGAUAAAUAUUGUUUACAAAAGAAAAGCUGGUGGAUAUGGUCCCAUCAUACCUAAAGGAAAUUACGAAGCUGAGAGAUUAGAGCCUUUGGUGGUAGAACCAGCUAGAGAACCAUCAUUGGCAGAGUAACCAGGUCUAGAAAAUAAGAUCUUCCUAUAAAAUAGAUUACAAAAUCCACGUUUUCGGUAAUGCUGUAUAUACAAUGCUAAGGCAUCUAAGAGAGCAUGAUAUAGGGUUCGAGACCUGGUGAACGCACACUAACGAGAUAUCAUGACAUGAUUGUACUGGUUAUUAGAUUUUGGAAGAUUAGGUUCAGUGUGCUGUGUCCCAACUUUUACUGGAAUGAGAAGACAAAUCUUGCAAUUUAUAAGAUGGAAAUCAAUUCGAUAAAGUCUUCUUUCCAUGUGGUCGAGUCUUAACUAUUUUCUCUUUCCUGUGGAUUUUCACUUCUUUGUUAUGUAUGGAAAUCAAUUCGAUAAAGUCUUCUUUCCUGGUGUAUUUUCUCUUCAUGCUAUGCAUGAUUCUUUGCUUGCUGCCAUGUUUGCUUUUCCUUAGUUGUGAAUUCUCUCUGGCGAAGUUUCGCGCGAGCCUACUUCUGUGAAACUUCUGCUUAUGUUCAAACAAGUUAAAAUUGGAUUUCUUACAACAUGUGCCCCAUCUGACCCAGUUGAGGUCGAGACUUGCAUUUGCCUUCCAGAGCGGUGGAAAGCUUCUUGGUGAAAGAGAUGUCCAUUAUCCCGGUUAUGGAAAUGUCAAGUGGAGGUUCAGUAAAGGGCUUAUAUGUGGAUAAAACAGCUCCCCUCCCUGUUAGCAAUACUAUCAUGAAGUUUACGAGCAUAUAUUGUUAGGAUACUGGCAUGCAAACCCGACAAGAUAAAAGGCAAAGGAUAGGAUAAAAUGAGAAAUUAGACACACAAGAAUUUACGUGGUUCACCCAAUUUGGCUACGUCCACGGACAAGUAUAGAAGGAUUUUACUAAGUAAUGUGGGAAUUACAACCUCUCUUCAACAAUAGGAGAACAACUGAAAUCUCUCAAUUACUAGGAGAAAACACCUCACUUACUCUCUCAUAAAUACCUCACAACUUUGUGGGAUUACUCUCUCUUCACUCUCUCUACUUGCUCUCAAGUUUCUCUCUUGUGGUGUGCAUCUAAUGCUUGGAUGCAUUGCCUAUUUAUAGGCAAGCAUCCAUGCAAGAGACAAGGGGCACCAAUUGGUGCUGCAAGUGGCACCGAAUUGGUGCCCAACAUUGUUGACUUUGCCAACAAUGCUAGCUGGCUUCACAUUCUCCCACUUGAAGACUUUGAUGAUUUAAUCAAGUCUUCACACUUGAUCAUCUGUGAUUCUUCUAUCCUUUCUAUACUUGUCAUCUUCAUGCUGCUUACGUUUCUGUUAGGCCAUAAGAGGAUCUGCACCAUAUAUACUUGUCAGUGUUGACUGGUUUGGUCAAAGCAUCUGCUGGGUUUUCCUUUGUGUGAACCUUCUGAAAAUCCACACUUCCAUCUUCCACCACUUCGCGAACAAAGUGAUACUGAACAUCUAUGUGUUUUGUUCUUGAAUGAAACGCUGGAUUCCUUGCAAUAUGCAAGGCACUCUGACUAUCACAAUACAAAAGAAUCUUCUCUUGUUUGUGCCCGAGCUCCUCCAUAAGUUUCUUCAUCCAUAUUGCUUCUUUACAAGCUUGUGUAGCUGCCAUGUACUCAGCUUCUGUUGUGGAUAAAGCUACAACAGUCUGAAGUUUAGAGACCCAGCUCACAGCUCCUCCUGCAAUUAUGAACACAUAGCCUGUAGUGGAUUUUCUUUUCUCAAGGUCGCCAGCAAAAUUUGAAUCAACAUAACCUCUGAUAGUAGAUUCUGAUCCUCCAUAACAUAAUGCGGCAUCUGAGGUACCCUUGAUGUAUCUCAAGAUCCUCUUAAUAGUAUUCCAAUGCUCUCUACCAGGAUUUGCCAUGUAUCGACUAGCUGCUCCCACUACUUGUGCAAUGUCUGGUCUUGUACAUAUCAUGGCAAACAUUAAACUUCCCACUGCUGAUGCAUACGGUACUCGAGACAUCUCCAUCCUCUCUGCUUCAUUGCUAGGAGACAUACUUGAGGAUAAUUUGAAGUUAACAGGAAGUGGGGUGGAAAUUGGCUUACAAUCUUGCAUGUUGAAGCGUCGCAAGAUCUUCUUCAAAUAAUUUUUUUGAGAAAGCCAAAUCUUCCUCUUACUUCUAUCUCGGUGAAUUUGCAUCCCUAGAAUCUUGUUUGCUGGUCCUAAGUCCUUCAUAUCAAACUCCCUAGCCAAUUGUGCCUUCAAUUCUUGGACUCGAUCUUUGUUGGGGCCUAUUACCAACAUGUCAUCCACGUACAACAACAGAAUGAUGAAAACAUCAUUUUCUUCAAACCUCUUGUAAUACGUACAAUGGUCUGAACUGAGUCUGUUGUACCCAAGGCUAAUUAUGAAGGAAUCAAAUCUCUUGUACCAACACCUCGGCGCUUGUUUGAGACCGUAUAGAGAUUUGUUCAACCUGCAAACCAAGUUCUCCUUGCCUGUUUCAGCAAAACCCUCUGGUUGGAGCAUAUAAAUUUCUUCUUCAAGUUCUCCAUGAAGAAAUGCAGUUUUCACAUCUAACUGCUCUAAGUGAAGAUCAAAUAUAGCACACAUUGCCAAGACUACUCUGAUUGUAGUAAGUCGUACCACCGAAGAAAAUAUCUCAUUGAAGUCUAUUCCUUCUUUCUGAGCAUAUCCUUUCACCACCAAUCUUGCACGAUACCGCUCCACUUGAUCAUUGCCAUCACGCUUUAUCUUGUAAACCCAUUUGUUGCCAAUGGCCUUUCUUCCUUGUGGUAGCGGAACAAGAUCCCAAGUGUUAUUCUUGUGCAGAGCUUCAAUCUCCUCUUGCAUUGCUGUCAUCCACAUAGAUACAUCUGUGCUUUUGAUAGCCUCAUGGAAAGUUGAUGGCUCUCCAUCCUCUGUUAGAAGACAAUAUGCAAUAUUGCUCUCAGUAACAUAUUCUGAGUGCCAAGCCGGUGGUCUUCUUUCACGAGUUGACCGUCGAACUUCAGGAGUUUCAGACUCUGUUUGUUCUUGUUCUUCAGGUUCUGGUGUAGCUUCAGAAGAAGUAUGAUUCUGAGUAUUUUCCAUCUGGACUGCUGUAGUCUCCUUUAGAAUGCUAUUAUGUUCUUCCAUUUGCAUUUUACCUUCUGCAAAUAUAACAUCUCUGCUGAUGACUACCUUGUGGGCAGUGGGAUCCCACAGGCGAUACCCCUUAACUCCAUCAGCAUAUCCCAAGAAUACACAUUUUCUGGAUUUUGAAUCCAGCUUGCUGACUUCUUGAGUAUUGUACAUCACGUACACAGGACUUCCAAAUAUAUGCAAUCGAGAAUAAUCAGCUGGUUUUCCAGUCCACAUCUCCAUCGGUGUCUUCAGCUCAAUUGCAGUUGACGGAGAUCGAUUUAUCACAUAACAGGCGGUAUUGACUGCUUCUGCCCAGAAUGACUUUCCUAGACCUACAGUCUUCAACAUUGCUCUUGUUCUUUCUAAUAGGGUUCUGUUCAUCCGCUCUACCACUCCAUUUUGCUGUGGAGUGUAUGUCGUUGUGAAUUGCCUUUUGAUACCUUCAUGUUGACAGAAGUUAUCAAAUUCAUCACUAGUAUAUUCUCCUCCAUUGUCAGUCCUCAAACACUUGAUCUUCUUUUCAGAUUCAAGUUCCACCCGCGCUUUGAAAGUUUUAAAGACUGCGAACACAUCUGCCUUCCUUCUAAUUGGAUACACCCAACAUCUCCUGGAGAAGUCAUCUAUGAAUGAUACAAAGUAUCUUGCUCCUCCCAAGGAUACAACCGGUGCUUGCCAAACAUCAUAGUGAAUCAGGUCUAAGAUGCAUUUGCUCUUAGUUGUUGAUGUGCCAAACUUCAACUUGUGCUGUUUGCUUGUAACACAAUGCUCACAAAAGGGUAAAGUAACCUUUGUAAGCCCAGGGAGUAACUUCUGAUCAGAGAGAACUUUCAAACCUUUCUCUGACAUGUGGCCUAGUUUUUGAUGCCACAUCAUCGUCUUCUCUUCUGCAGGACUGGCUGAUGCAAUUGAUGCUUUUGCCCCAUGAUGUGUUUCUCCCAUUAAUACAAACAUGUUUGCAACUGUCUUUCUCGCCUUUAAAACCACCAGCGCUCCUUUGACAAUUUUCAUUAUUCCAUUGUCUGUUCGGAUCUUACAGCCAAGACUAUCAAAUUGUCCUACGGACAAAAGAUUCUUCUUUAAGUCUUUCACAUGUCGCACUCCUGUAAUAGUACGAAUUAAGCCAUCAUACAUCUUCAAUUUGAUGGUGCCAAUGCCAGCAAUCUCUAAAGCAUGAUCAUUACCCAUGAACACUGAACCUUCAAAGAUGGGUUCGUAUGUAUGAAACCAAUCUCGAUUAGGAGUCAUAUGCCAUGUUGCUCCUAAAUCCAUUAACCAAACCUCAGUGAGCUCUUUUCUAUCUGUAGAGACUGUCGUUGCUUCACUAUAUAAAACCUCCCCAUCUUCUGAGGUGCUUGCAACACAUCUUUGAGGUUUUGAUGACUCUGCAGUGUUCUCUAUACCCUUUUUAAACCAACAAUCCUUUUUUAAGUGCCCUUUUCUGCCACAGUUGUAGCAUUUCACAGUCUUCUUACUUCUUGAUUUGGACCUUCCUUGCAUUUGACUCCCACUCGAGCCACGCUCCGUUGAUCUCCCUCUUGACACCAACAAUGCCUCUACUUGGUUUGAACUAUUUCUGUCUCCUUUAUUUUUGCGCCUAUUUUCUUCUUCCAAGAUGGCGGCUGCAACAUCAUCAAAGACUAAAUAGUCUGUGAGGAUAUUAUUGGUCAAGUUGAUAAUGAGCUGAUCAUACGAAUCUGGAAGACUUUGAAGUAGAAGCUCUGCACGUUCACUUUCCUCUAUUUGUUGACCCAACGUAGUGAGUUGUGAAAAUAGAGUUCUUAUUGUGUUGAUGUGGUCAGUCACCGCCGUGGUUUCUGCCAUUCGAAGGGUAUAAAGUCUCCGUUUUAAGAAAAUCUUAUUGUGCAAAGACUUGGACUCAUAUAGCUUUGUUAGAGUCUCCCAUAUCUCCUUAGCUGUUUUCUUCUCCGCCACACUUGAUAACACUUCAUCGGCUAAUGCUAAAUGUAUGUUAGCAAUAGCAUUGCCAUCCAUUUCAUUCCAUUUUGCAUUAUCAGUGAUCUCCGCGGGCCGAUCCCCAAUUGCUGCCAAGCAAUUGCCUUUCCUUAAGAUUGCUUUGAUUCUCAUUUUCCACAGUGAGAAAUUGCUCCCCUUGAACCUCUCAAUCUCGUACUUUGCUGCCAUUGUAUUCACCAAGAUCUAUUCAGCUAUCACCGUUUCACAGAUCUGUAACGUAUAUAGAAAUAGUAUCGUGUGAAUAAUACUUCACUAAGUAAGUUCCCAGGAAAGAUUGGAGAGGUCACAAACGGUCCCGCUUAAAACCCAAUCUCCUUAGACAGAACUUCCUAGACUGUAUUUAAUCACCGCACUGACUUUCUAUAUACGCCAACAGUAACGUAUGUGAACAGUACCGUAUGGAUGAAUAGUGUCGUAUAGGUGAAUAGUGCCGUAGACGUGAAUAGUAACCGUAUACACGAAUAACUAUUGUGUAUUAACAACACCAACCAGGAAGCUCUAAUACCACUGUUAGGAUACUGGCAUGCAAACCCGACAAGAUAAAAGGCAAAGGAUAGGAUAAAAUGAUAAAUUAGACACACAAGAAUUUACGUGGUUCACCCAAUUUGGCUACGUCCACGGACAAGUAUAGAAGGAUUUUACUAAGUAAUGUGGGAAUUACAACCUCUCUUCAACAAUAGGAGAACAACUGAAAUCUCUCAAUUACUAGAAGAAAACACCUCACUUACUCUCUCAUAAAUACCUCACAACUUUGUGGGAUUACUCUCUCUUCACUCUCUCUACUUGCUCUCAAGUUUCUCUCUUGUGGUGUGCAUCUAAUGCUUGGAUGCAUUGCCUAUUUAUAGGCAAACAUCCAUGCAAGAGACAAGGGGCACCAAUUGGUGCUGCAAGUGGCACCGAAUUGGUGCCCAACAUUGUUGACUUUGCCAACAAUGCUAGUUGGCUUCACAUAUAUUUCUAGCCAUAGCAAUUAGAUUUCAAUUGUCAGAAAAUACAAAUACCAUACCGUAGAAAAGAAAUUGUUAACUUUUUGUCUAGUCUAUCCAAGUCCUUGUAUUUUUAUCCCAUCUAAAGAAGGUGUAUAUAUAUAACCCAUAGACUGUUAGCAUAUUUAAAAUAUACAACCUUUCAUAUAUAACAUUUCAGGGGGGAAUUAAUUAAUGUGGAAAAAUUUAUUAUUUAAUUAUUAAUGAAUAAUGGGGCAUAAAAUAAUAUUUUAAUUAAAAAAUUAAAACAUCACUAACAUUAUCUCACUACAUUUAAUAAAUAUGCCAGUUCAAUAUUGAUACGUCCUCAAAAUUUUUCUCAUAGAUACAAUAUCUUGUAUACAAAAAACAAAAGAGUUUAAAUUGCAUGAAUCGUGCUGAUAACUCUUUGGAAGCAAGUACUACCUUCCACGUAUUAUAACGCAACUUUGUUUUUUGAACCAGAACCACAAGUUGUAUAUAUUUUUAUGAAUGAACUUCCAAAUAUCCUUUCAGGGUCACAAAUAAAAAUUCAAAUAUAUAUUAUCAUUCUCUAAAUUUCAUGUAUACAGCUAAAUAAGAGAAGACAAAUAUAAAAUUAAUGGAGUCUUUUAGAUAGAUAAAAUGCAAUAUAAAUACAAAUGAGUAUCUCAAUUACAUAAAAUCUACAUUAUAGAAUUGCUCAACAUGUCUUUUAUAAGCAAUAGAUGGUAAAUCUUUUAUCAAUGAAUUAAUAAUCAUCAAUCCAGUGUUGAUGUGUUCAACAACCACUUUAUUUGCUUUGACAUGUUCUCGAAUAGCUAGAUAUUUAAUGUUGAUGUGCUUAUUGCAACUUUUAUGUUAGUGAAUAUGAUUUGUAGUUAAUCGGUUGAUUAUACAUAGUAUUGAUUUUAUUCAUGUAAAAUAUAUUUAUUAUUAAUAAAGACUUUCUUUAUCUUUAUUUUUAAUUUUUAUUUAUAUUUGAUUAAUAAAUCUAGAGUAAAGAUAAAGUCUAUGGAACAAAAAUACUUUGCAUAAGAAAUUAUAAAAUUGUUAUAAUUAUGAGAUUUUUAUUGCAUCAAAGCAUUGUUCCUAAAUGUUCAUGGUCAAUGUUUUAUUUGUUGGGUCCUCGAAUAUCAUACACACAGUGGAAACUAUGAAACAAAAUUAUUCGGGAAUCCCUAAGAUCCUGUUAGAUAGAUCUAGAAUUGUUUAGGAAUUUAUUCCUGAAGAUAUGAUCUUCUUCGACUUUGAAUAAUUUUUUAAAAGCUGGGUUAUCGCAAACUACAAGUCAUCUAAUUGUCCGGCUUCCAACAGUAAUUCACACAAAUCACUCGUGAGAAAACUCAUAAAUCCCUAUUUAGGAGAGAUGAAUUGUUAAGCUUAGAGUGCUAGCUCUAAUAUUGUGUUCACGUAGUUUUUCUGUCUAACAAAAAACCAUAUUUUUUUUCACUUAUAAAAUAAUAGGCUUAGCUUUAUAUUUAUAGGGAAUCCUUAAAAAUCCUAUAAAUAAUAAAAUAUAUAUUUGCCCCUUAAAUAAUAUCCAUUUAUUAUUUAAAGAUAAUUAUAGAAAUUAACUCAAUUAAAUCCUUACUUGAUUUUUAUAAGUCUAGAAAUAUAAUCUUUGUAUUAAUUAUAAUUUAGUCCUUAAUUUCUAGAACAUAUUUUAAUCAAGUCAUACUUAAUUAAAUCAUCCCAAUUUAAUUUUUGAUUAAUGAUUCUUAAUGCAUGUGACUCAUUAAGUUCCUAAUAUGUUGGCCUAAAUAUAAUUUAUAAUUCUAAUUAAAUAGAAUUAAAUAAUUUAAUUUAUUAUUAAUUCAACAAUUGAUUAAUUUAUUUUGAAGAUUAGGUAUCGUCUAGCAACACGUCAUGAACCCCUAAAUAUUAGAAAAGUCAUUAGUAGUUUGACUUAACCUUUUAGUGAUCAAUUUCUCAGUAUAAUAAAUAUCAUUUCAUCAAUAAUGUUCUGAUUUAAUAUUAAAGCAUAAAGUAUAUAUGUGAUGUUAAAUCAUGCAUAUUCUCUAUAUAAUAGUCAUUGAUCAUUUGAAUAAGAUUUGAAACUCUUUUCAAAUCUCAUUACACAUUGGCCAAGAAUAAUUCUCAGUCAAUACUAUUUGAGAAUAGAUGAAACAUUUUUCUUAAUUCACCUAGGGUGAUGAAUCAUUUAUUGAUCACUUAAGUACCUUCAUAUAGUUCAUGCUAUACCCAAUUUCUGCUCUUUCGUUACCUUGAUUAAGAUAACAUGUAACAGGAUCAAAGUAUAACAUUCUUUAUAUAAGAUGACUUUGCGAUCUCAAGUUUAAGGAUCACUUACACAACUAUCGUGUGAGCCUUUUCAUAGACAUAAGUGAUCUUUCCAUAUGAAAUUCUCAUGCAAGUUAAUUUAGUGUACAUGUCUUAUGAUAAGCACCUACAUAUUAAUUAUAGGUAUCCCUUAUACCUCAGCUUAUGCUCUUAUUUUGGAGUCGUUGUUUGUUAGAUAUAAAAAACUAUAUAGUCACAAAAUAAAGAGCUAGUACUCCAAGCAAAACAAUUCCUCUCUCCUAAAUAGGAUUUUAGGAGAUUUCUCACUAGUGGUUCGUGUGGAUUAUCAUUGGAGGCCAGACAAUUGGAUGACUUGUGAUUUAUGACAAUUCAGCCUUUAAAUAAUUAUUCAAAGCCGAAGAAGAUCAUAUCUUCAGGUAAUAAAUUUCUAAACAACUUUAGAUCUGUCUAACAGGAUUCUAGGGACUCCUAAAUAAUUUUUUUUUAUUGUUUCUACUACGUGUAUGACAUUCAGAAAUCUAACAAGUUCCUAACUCUGUUGAACUUUCCUAUAACACCACACCCUACUAGCAAGAUAUUGUUCACUUUGGCCCAUAGACCUCACGGAUUUGUUCUUGGCAGCCACGUAUGACCCCAAAAUGCGUUUUAUUAGUCAAGGUGAACAUGCUCAUAUAAGCCCCCCAAGUCCUCACCCGUUGAUAUAAGAUAUUACAAUCCACCCUUCUUAAAGAGCUCGACGACCCCAUAGACACCACCAGAUAACCAAUGAAGGAAAUAAACAUAAUUUUUUUUUGUUGACAAAGCAAAAAAAAAUAAUACCAUAUGUGCGAAACAAAGUGGCUGGAAUGGAACUGGAAAGUUUUGGCCAGAAUCUAAGUGGAAUUUUUGGAAUGAAUUGAGAUUCUAAGCUAGAUGAAAUUUUUUAUGGUUGGUUUUAUUUUUUAAAACUAGAAUAAGAUAUAGCGGACAUUUCAGACAACAUGUAACGGAAUUUACAACUUUUAUCUUUACCCAAAAUUGUAAUAGCUAGAAAUUCGCACUCUUGUGUAGUCAAUUAUGGAGAAUAAUAUUGCGGUGUGUCCACCACUCUUGUGUAGUCAAUUAAGGGACCUACUUGUAUGGAAAUGUAAUAUGAAACGGUUUGCUCUAAAGGCAACUCAUGCAAAAGCAGCAAAUAAGAGUUCAUUAAUAUAAUUACCGUGUUUCCAACACUCACUACUCUUGUUUAGUCUUCUUAUAUUUAAAAACACCCAGUAAAAACACCCAGCUAAGGAUGUUUCACAAUGCUUCUCCCAGCAGUGAGAAAGAUCAAUAAUGACUUUGAUUUCGUCUUUAAAUGUGUACACGUUCACCCAUACUGUCAGUCAUCAGCAAAGGGACCUUCUUGUAUGGAAAUAUUUGCAAUGCAAUAUUCAACACUGUAAGAGUCAACUCUUACCGUAUGGUUUCCAAAGCAAAUGUUAUGGAACAUGUUUUGAAGACUCGCAAAACAAAAAGAAAAACCUUGUUGCUGAGGGGAAGGGGAUUGCCAAGAAAUUCAAAUGACAAAUAUUGCUUUAUUAAUCUUCACGUCUCAAAGCCUUCUUCACUAUACCCACUGCUCUAAUUAACAAUCUUUACCUAAAAUUGUAAAUGAACUAUUCAGAAAUUUGCACAAAAAAUGUCAUUUAUGAAAACUAAUAUUCUCGUGUUUCCAACACUAUUGUAUAGUCAAUGAAGGGACCUGCAUGUAUGGAAAUAUAACAUGAAACGGUUUGCUCUAAAAGCAACUCAUGCAAAAGCAACGUGUUCCCAACACUCACUCUUGCUUAGGCAACGUGUUUUCACAAUUUAUACGUAGUUUUUAGAUUAAUUAAAAUAAAGACGUAAAUUGAUAAAUGAUGAUUAUUUAACAAAGACGUAACAGAUGCAACAAUUCUUGUAUACUUUCAUCUACGUUGGGUACUUAAAUCUUGAUUGGUUUGUGUAUAAAUAGUACCAUUGCAAAUCUUUAUUUCUCAUCAUUCGUUCAACACUCCAAAUUAAUAUACUUUCGAAUCCUGUAAGGCCAGCCAACAUGGGGUUUUCACCACUGUCCCUCUCUCAAUUUCUCUCUUCCAUUCUGUUUCUCUUCCAUUUUUACACAACAAUUUCUUCAUCAAAUUACUCCUCUUCAUCUCAUUUCUGUGCUCCUGACCAAAGUCUUUCUUUGCUCCAAUUCAAAGAGUCCUUUUCCAUUACUAGCUCUGCUUCAGGGCGUUGCCAGCAUCCCAAGACAGAGUCGUGGAAAGAGGGUACAGACUGCUGCUCGUGGGAUGGGGUCACUUGUGAACUGGAAACCGGGCAAGUCACUGCACUGGACCUUGCUUGCAGCAUGCUUUAUGGCACCCUCCAUUCCAAUAGCACCCUCUUCUCCCUGCAUCAUUUUCAAAAGCUCGACCUCUCUGACAAUGAUUUCCAAAGCUCCCAUAUUUCUUCUCGAUUUGGCCAGUUCUCCAAUCUGACACAUCUCAACCUAAAUUUCUCAGGCUUUGCAGGUCAAGUUCCGUCGGAAAUCUCCCAGCUCUCCAAAUUGGUUUCACUUGAUCUCUCUGGAAACUACUACCCAAGUCUAGAACCAAUUUCUUUUGACAAGCUUGUUCGAAACCUAACCCAGCUUAGAGAACUCGAUCUGAGUCGGGUAAACAUGUCAAUGGUUGCACCCAAUUCCUUGAUGAAUCUGUCUUCUUCUUUGUCAUCACUCCUACUCUAUUCGUGUGGAUUGCAAGGAAAAUUACCAUCCUCAAUGAGAAAAUUUAAGCAC
rnacentral:lncRNA from 1 species